rnacentral:RNase_P_RNA from 23 species
AAGAGUAGACGAGGCAGCCGCAACCAAAAGGUUGAGGAAAGUCCGAGCUCCACAGAGCAGGAUGCUGGGUAACACCCAGUGAGGGCGACCUCAAGGAGAGUGCCACAGAAAACAAACCGCCUACCCAAAUGUUUGGGUAGGUAAGGGUGAAAAGGCGGGGUAAGAGCCCACCGCAGCACUGGCGACAGUGCUGGCACGGUAAACCCCAUCCGGAGCAAGGCCAAGCAGCCAGCUGUGACCCUGCUCGGCGAGCUGGCGGGUAGGCCGCUGGAGCUUGCUGGCAACAGCAAGCCAAGAUAAAUGGUUGCCACCCACCAAAACUUUUGAAGGCAACGCGGUUUUGGUGGGAACAGAACUCGGCUUACCGUCUACUCGUAGUU